CGGGGCGGGGCGCGGCCGCCGGAAGUGCGUGGCCGCCCGGGGCCAUGGCGACACUCAGCUUCGUCUUCCUGCUGCUGGGGGCAGUGUCCUGGCCUCCGGCUUCUGCCUCCGGCCAGGAGUUCUGGCCCGGACAGUCGGCGGCCGAUAUUCUGUCGGGGGCGGCUUCCCGCAGACGGUAUCUUCUGUAUGACGUCAACCCCCCGGAAGGCUUCAACCUGCGCAGGGAUGUCUAUAUCCGAAUCGCCUCUCUCCUGAAGACUCUGCUGAAGACGGAGGAGUGGGUGCUUGUCCUGCCUCCAUGGGGCCGCCUCUAUCACUGGCAGAGUCCUGACAUCCACCAGGUCCGGAUUCCCUGGUCUGAGUUUUUUGAUCUUCCAAGUCUCAAUAAAAACAUCCCCGUCAUCGAGUAUGAGCAGUUCAUCGCAGGAAGACGCACUGCGUGUGGAGUACGCUUCGUGGUGUCUCAGUGCAGCGCCAGGGAUAAAGAGUCUGGUGGGCCCUUUAUUGACCAGGUUUACGUCCUACAAAGUUACGCAGAGGGGUGGAAAGAAGGGACCUGGGAAGAGAAGGUGGACGAGCGGCCGUGUAUUGAUCAGCUCCUGUACUCCCAGGAUAAGCACGAGUACUACAGAGGAUGGUUUUGGGGUUAUGAGGAGACCAGGGGUCUAAACGUCUCCUGUCUGUCCGUCCAGGGCUCAGCCUCCAUCGUGGCGCCCCUGCUGCUGAGGAACACAUCAGCCCGGUCCGUGAUGUUAGACAGAGCCGAGAACCUACUUCACGACCACUAUGGAGGGAAAGAAUACUGGGAUACCCGUCGCAGCAUGGUGUUUGCCAGGCACCUGCGGGAGGUGGGAGACGAGUUCAGGAGCAGACACCUCAACUCCACGGACGACGCAGACGGGAUCCCCUUCCAGGAGGACUGGACGAAGAUGAAGGUCAAGCUGGGCUCCGCGCUAGGGGGCCCCUACCUGGGAGUCCACCUGAGAAGAAAAGAUUUCAUCUGGGGUCACAGACAGGAUGUACCCAGUCUGGAAGGGGCCGUGAGGAAGAUCCGCAGCCUCAUGAAGACCCACCGGCUGGACAAGGUGUUUGUGGCCACAGAUGCCGUCAGAAAGGAAUAUGAAGAGCUAAAAAAGCUGUUACCCGAGAUGGUGAGGUUUGAACCCACGUGGGAGGAGCUGGAGCUCUACAAGGACGGAGGCGUUGCGAUUAUUGACCAGUGGAUCUGCGCACACGCCAGGUGCCUGCCCACGUCACUGUCGGCCGAGAGCGGGUCGGGUGGCUUUCAAAGGUUCUUCUGUCCCAAGUACUCGGUGUCAGAGCAGAUGGUUGCCUGUGUUCACAGUGGUCAUUUCCAUACUGUUUGCCUCCUCGUCUGAGUCUCCUGUAGCAUCUGGUUCGGUGUUUCCCUGGGCUGAAGUUAAUUGUUCAUCUUGCCCCUUUAGUUCUCACGCACAGAAUUCCUCCAUAGCAGGCUGUUGGCAUAGCUGGCCUCGUCUCAGAACCUCUUCUUGUGUCUCAUUUUCCCAUCAUUCCCAGUUUCUGCCCCUGUCUGCCCCCUGCCCUGAGAGUUGCCUGUGCCCUGGACUUGGGCGUGUCCUUGUUGCUAUGUGUGUUGUUGAGCAUCCGUGAGCGUCCCCGAGGCCAGGAGCGUAGGCCCUCGUGUGAUCGUUCUCGUGGGGCUGCCGUGAGCGUCCCAGAGGCCGGGAGCAUGGGCCCUGCGUGCAGUCAUUCCUCUGGGGUUGCUGUGGGAGGUACGCCUGGGCCUCUGUUCCUCCAAAGACCUGCCUGCCCAUCUGCAUAGGAGAUGAAGGCUGGGGUUAGGGUGAAACAGUUUGAGUUAAAUGGAAAAUGAAAGUAGAGGGAAUGAUCUUCCCUGUGGUUAGCACUGUGCCUGCGCGUGCGUCUCUGUGGGUUAGUCUGUCUCUCUCCUGCCCGAGGAAUACUGAGCGCCCUGAGCCGGUGCCUCUUCACACCUCUGCUAUUUCCUGUGGUGUUCUGGGCAUGGUGUAUAAGACCCACAGAGGCUCCGGGUGAUGCUGUCUGCUGGGUGUGGGUCCCUUUCCCUGUUAAGCAGACAGGAUGCAGCGCUGACUUCUUAGGUCGGGGCGGAGGUGUGCAGGAGCCCAGUCACGAGCUCGCCCCUGCUUCUCAGGUGUGGCCUUGGGAUUUUGACUGCGACCUUGGUGGUGCUGUCUCCGCAGCCCAGGAAGCCUGCUGUGGGGAGGCUUCACACUGAGCUCUCAGCCUCCUGCCCUCAGCUGCGCGAAGCGCUCGGCCCAGCUCACUGAAGCUGCCCUGCCUCCGGGCCGGCGCGGCCUGCUCUGGCAGGCCCCUGUGUGUGGGGUGGUGAGGGUCUCCCCACCAGUGCUGCACCCCGCAGCAGCAUACAGGCCUGUGUGGCCUGCUGGCCCUGUGGCUCCGUGUACAGCGCUGUGCAUGUUACAUUUGCUCUGGAAACAUCUCUGGGGUUUGCUUGUUCACGAAGUUCAUGAAGUGCCGCUGGAGAGCCAGAGACCAGCUGCGCAGGAGCCGGAGGAACGGGCAGGCCGCUGACCUGAGGUUUUUUAUUGGCACCUCAGUCUCAACAUUUUCUUUUCGGAUUCAUGAGGAAAGAGAAAUCCUGGGGUUGGACCCCAAGACGACGUACAACAGGUUCUGCGGAGACCAAGAGAAGGCGUGUGAGCAACCCACCCACUGGAAGAUCACCUACUGAGGAGGAUCCUCCGGGGCCGCUCCCCGGACCCGACAGGCGCGGGUGGAUGCAGGUUCUGUCGCCGUGGAGUCACCGUCUGCCGCCAGCCGGGAGCUGGGCGGACAGGACCGUCCCUCGCAGGGUCCCGGGCCCAGAAGAGGCCCCACGCCUCUAGAGCUGUGCUCCGUCCUCGGCGUUGCCAGCCGCCAUGGCUGAUGAAGAGGCUCCGCUGCUCUCGGGGGCGGCGGUUGUUUCCAGGCAGCGUCUGUGAACCCACAGCUCGGUUGCCAGCAGUGCCCGCGUGGUGACCCAGAAGCAGGAGUGUUUGUCAGGCUCCCGCUCUGGUCUUUCCAGCCACCUUUCAUGUCUUCAUAUUUUAAGUUCAUUGAGGAUAGAUGCAGGCGGGUGAGCUGCCCUCCGUCAGGCGGACCCGGGCUGACAUUUCCCUGGGAGCUGGUGCAAGGAGAAGCGUCAUUUUAAAUGUCUGCAGAGCGACCAGGGGCCUCAUGAAUCCCUCCGUUGCCCUCCGCGCAGCAGGAGGCUGCCUGUGUGUUUCCUCCUGGGAUGCGUGCAAGGCAGACCUGGUGCUGCAAAGGAAGGGCCUGAGGCCUCAGGGAGCCCCGUGGAGGGAUGACAGUUCAGGCCCUACUGCUGGCACGUCAGAGCGCUGGGAAGUUUUUCAGUGAUGUCUCUGGGGCACUCAGUGGAUUGUCUGUAGGAAACUUGCAGCUCCGCUCCUCACACCAGGCCCGGCUGGCCACCCACCCUCGCCCCCACUGCCCCUCCCUCGCCCCGACUGCCCCGCCCUACCCUCACCCUCACCCCGACUGCCCCGCCCUCGCCCCCACUGCCCCUCCCUCGCCCGGCUGGCCGUCCCUGCCCUCGCCCCGGCUGGCUGUCCCUGCCCUCACCCCGGCUGGCAGGUGCACAUGGGGCCUCCGGGUCUACCAUUCGCUAUUGAGAACUAGAAAUGAGGAAGGACAGUUACGCUAACUCCAAAAGGCUGUCUAGGAUGAGCUGCUUUAUCAGGGAGCUCCUCAUACCCAUUUUACAGAAAUCAUUUUUAGGUCUUUGUGCCACCACCACGAGGGGCAUCUGCAAAGAGGGCAACGCUAGACACAGAAUCCGUGGAAGGUGCAGCAGUGCCUCAGGGGUCCUCAGGGUCAGGGAGCCCCCCUCGCCCUCUUGGCCCGUUACCCUUUGUGACUUUCCACCAUGGUGUCGUGUGACCCUCAGUCAGGCUGGUGGGGGCUGAGUCCUCACUGAGCAGCCACUUUCCACAUCUGCUAGAGGAACAGUGACAUGGACACCUGUGUGACAGAGAGAGGACAGUUAGUGAGGAGGGACAGACAGCUCUUCCCUUCGGAGCCUGGCUAGUCUAGGACAUCACCUUGCUGUGUCUUCUCAAGCUUUUAAAAUUGACCCUGAACGUGUGACAGGGCCCUAUGGUGUUACUCAAAGCUGUGCAGGGUAAAUGAUGACAUAUUUAUUCUUUUUCCAUUUGUUCUAGAAACAGUGCCUUUUUCAUCAGUUGCAUUUUCCAGGCUGAGAGCUGUAUAAAACAUUUUGGACUGUGACCAUGUACCUUCCUUUUUAAGAAAAAUAAACUGCUUUAUGGUA